rnacentral:rRNA from 1 species
CCUAAUACAUGCAGUCGAGCGGAUCUUCAUUAGCUUGCUUUUGAAGAUCAGCGGCGGACGGGUGAGUAACACGUGGGCAACCUGCCUGUAAGACUGGGAUAACUUCGGGAAACCGGAGCUAAUACCGGAUAAUCCUUUCCCUCACAUGAGGGGAAGCUGAAAGACGGCUUCUCGCUGUCACUUACAGAUGGGCCCGCGGCGCAUUAGCUAGUUGGUGAGGUAACGGCUCACCAAGGCAACGAUGCGUAGCCGACCUGAGAGGGUGAUCGGCCACACUGGGACUGAGACACGGCCCAGACUCCUACGGGAGGCAGCAGUAGGGAAUCUUCCGCAAUGGACGAAAGUCUGACGGAGCAACGCCGCGUGAACGAUGAAGGCUUUCGGGUCGUAAAGUUCUGUUGUCAGGGAAGAACAAGUACCGGAGUAACUGCCGGUACCUUGACGGUACCUGACCAGAAAGCCACGGCUAACUACGUGCCAGCAGCCGCGGUGGUACGUAGGUGGCAAGCGUUGUCCGGAAUUAUUGGGCGUAAAGCGCGCGCAGGCGGUUCCUUAAGUCUGAUGUGAAAGCCCCCGGCUCAACCGGGGAGGGUCAUUGGAAACUGGGGAACUUGAGUGCAGAAGAGGAGAGC